rnacentral:misc_RNA from 1 species
GAAAUGCGAUACGUAAUGUGAAUUGCAGAAUUCAGUGAAUCAUCUCAACUUUCCUGCAUCAGUAACAACCUCAACUCCUUUUCAAUCGUGUUAUGCGUGAGGGAAGGGGUUGGAUUUGAGCAUAUCCACCGGGCCACAUUGGUUUGAGGGAUGCUUGAAAUGGAGGUUCGGCCGACAGUGCCUGGGCUACAAGCAUUUCAUACUUAAUCCCGUUAAACGGAUUAUUUCCUUUGCUGCAGCCAACAUACAGGGUAACUGUCAGUAACCGACUGAUGCAGGAAAGUUGAGAUGGGUUCUUCGGAUCCUAGCCUCUUCUAAACUCGAUCUCAAAUCAAGUAAGACUACCCGCUGAACUUAA